GACGAACGCUGGCGGCGUGCUUAACACAUGCAAGUCGAACGCUGAAGCCCUUCGGGGUGGAUGAGUGGCGAACGGGUGAGUAACACGUGGGUAAUCUGCCCUGCACUCUGGGAUAAGCCUUGGAAACGGGGUCUAAUACCGGAUAGGACACAUCGCCGCAUGGUGUGUGUGUGGAAAGUUCCGGCGGUGCAGGUUGAGCCCGCGGCCUAUCAGCUUGUUGGUGGGGUGAUGGCCUACCAAGGCGACGACGGGUAGCCGGCCUGAGAGGGUGACCGGCCACACUGGGACUGAGACACGGUCCAGACUCCUACGGGAGGCAGCAGUGGGGAAUCUUGCGCAAUGGGCGAAAGCCUGACGCAGCAACGCCGCGUGGGGGAUGACGGCCUUCGGGUUGUAAACCUCUUUCGACCGGGACGAAGGAUUCGUUUGACGGUACCGGUAGAAGAAGCACCGGCUAACUACGUGCCAGCCGCCGCAGUAA
rnacentral:rRNA from 1 species